GAACGGUCAACGCCCGCUUCGCGGGCUUUUGCCCGUAUUAAUAUGUUCAAAUACAAAAAAAAAUGAUAUAACAAAUCGUCGCAAUCGUGGCGUAUUAAAGAUGGUGUCCGCCUAGCGACCGAGACGUCACGAAUAGAAGAAGAGGAUAUGAGCGUUUUCAUCUUAAAGAUUUUUACGCAAACCCUCAACCGUACCCAAGAAAAGUAUUGUCCACCACACCCAUCAUCCCACGAGUUCGAGAACGAUACCGCCGAACAGCUGACAAUAUUCCAGCAGUCCAACGGCACUUUCCACGUCGACCGCAUGUCGUUUAAAAAACUAAUGUCUGUACAUGCAUACUUGCGACAUGAAGAUUCGUUGAAGCAGAUGCCCUAUACUUCUCGUUAUGAUGUCAGAAGAAGUUAGGCAGACAUUGUCGCCGUAUUUCACCACAGUUGAGGUCUGUGGUGUGAAGAUCCACUCGUCCAAAACUAUGUUAUGGACUUGAUGUAGCGUAUCUCCAGCCCAGGAUAUGCACAGUGAGCAGGAUUCUCAGGAGAUACCACGGGACCGUGCGUGCUUUUUAUAGAGGAAAACGUAGGCCAUGACCAGACUACGUCAGUGCGCAGACUAGGCUUGAGCUAAGCUGACCGCAUAUGCUAUUAGACUAGACUAUUGUUCGAAUGACCGGAUGUUUUACAAAAACGCGCAGCGAAAGUCAUUGUACAAAAGCCAAAUAGAACACCUUCAUACGAAUUGUUUUUACAGCUUAAUUGGCUCUCGUUUAAUAAUAGAUGUAAAUACCACACGGCAAUCUUGGUAUAUAAAUGUGUCAGACUCCAGAAUAUUUAAAUGAUAUUAUAACUUUUUUUCGAAAUCACAAAUAUAACUUAAGAUCUGCCACCCAUGACGAUAUUGGUAAUACCAAAGCGAAUACAGGUUAUAAAAAAAACGAGCUUUUUCAUACCAUAGCAUGGAUAUUUGGAACAGUAUAUCUAUUGCAAUAAGAAUGACAUGCUCUAUCCCUGCCUUUAAAAGGGAAUAUCGGUGCUAGGCUACAGAUAUCCUGGGGAUAUAUCUAACGUUAUAUAAUGAUCGUGAUAUCAUGAUACUCCUAGCUCCCUGUCUAAAAUUUCGCUUUUGCCUCCUAGAUGGGACAACUUGGAGACUCUUCUACGAAACAUAACACAGUUUUACUAAAUAAUAUUGUUUAUAAAGUUCUCUUUUUUGCUGAUAUUGAUAUUAACAUCCAUAUAUAUCGUUUAUGUUUGUAUCUAUCUAACCAUUGUUUAUAUAUAGUUAUAUUGUGUUUUGAUCUUCGUGUCUUGUAUAUGGAGGAAUAAAAGUAUAUAUGUGUCUGUCUAAAAGGCAAAAUGUGUGUUAUGUAUGGGUGUACGAAAUAUUGUUUGUAUGUUUAACCUGUUAUAGACCUAUAUGUGUAUGUUAUUUCAAGA